AUUGAACGCUGGCGGCAUGCCUUACACAUGCAAGUCGAACGGUAACAGGUCUUCGGAUGCUGACGAGUGGCGAACGGGUGAGUAAUACAUCGGAACGUGCCUAGUAGUGGGGGAUAACUACUCGAAAGAGUGGCUAAUACCGCAUGAGAUCUACGGAUGAAAGCAGGGGAUCGCAAGACCUUGUGCUACUAGAGCGGCCGAUGGCGGAUUAGGUAGUUGGUGGGAUAAAAGCUUACCAAGCCGACGAUCUGUAGCUGGUCUGAGAGGAGGAUCAGCCACACUGGGACUGAAACAGGGCCCAGACUCCUCCGGGAGGCAGCAGUGGGGAAUUUUGGACAAUGGGCGAAAGCCUGAUCCAGCAAUGCCGCGUGCAGGAUGAAGGCCUUCGGGUUGUAAACUGCUUUUGUACGGAACGAAAAGCCCUGGGUUAAUACCCUGGGGUCAUGACGGUACCGUAAGAAUAAGCACCGGCUAACUACGUGCCAGCCGCCGCCGUAA
rnacentral:rRNA from 1 species